CUACGGGACGCAGCAGUGGGGAAUAUUGCACAAUGGGCGAAAGCCUGAUGCAGCAACGCCGCGUGAGGGAUGAAGGCCUGCGGGUUGUAAAGCACUUUCGGUUGGGAGGACUGCUUCUAGCACUAAUAUUGUUGGAAGUUGACGUUACCUUCAGAAGAAGCACCGGCUAACUCCGUGCCAGCAGCCGCGGUAAUACGGGGGGUGCAAGCGUUAAUUGGAAUUACUGGGCGUAAAGCGCGCGUAGGCGGCUAGAUCAGUCGGGUGUGAAAGCCCCGGGCUUAACCUGGGAACUGCAUCCGAUACUGUCUAGCUUGAGUACAGGAGAGGAGAGUGGAAUUCCACAUGUAGCGGUGAAAUGCGUAGAUAUGUGGAGGAACACCAAUGGCGAAGGCAGCUCUCUGGCCUGAUACUGACGCUGAGGUGCGAAAGCGUGGGGAGCAAACAGGAUUAGAUACCCGAGUAGUC
rnacentral:rRNA from 1 species